UCUUCCUACGGGACGCAGCAGUGAGGAAUAUUGGUCAAUGGCCGGAAGGCUGAACCAGCCAAGCCGCGUGAAGGACGAAGGUGCCAAGCAUUGUAAACUUCUUUUGUCAAGGGACAAAAUCAGGCUCGAGAGCCUGACCGAGGGUACUUGAAGAAAAAGCAUCGGCUAACUCCGUGCCAGCAGCCGCGGUAAUACGGAGGAUGCGAGCGUUAUCCGGAUUUAUUGGGUUUAAAGGGAGCGUAGGCGGGCUGUUAAGUCAGCGGUAAAAGCCCGGGGCUCAACCCCGGCGGUCCGUUGACACUGGC
rnacentral:rRNA from 1 species